rnacentral:ncRNA from 1 species
GAUGAACAAAGGCAACUCCGCCGAAAGGCGGAAGACGCAAAGCCACCGGUCUAAACCGCUCACGAAAGCGGCAUGACAGCGGGGACGCUCAU